UUUUGUUGGGUCCAUACCAGAGGCUUUACAUUUUGAAAGAAUGUUCUCUUUAUCUUGUACUGGGAGAGCCAUUGCGGUGCUACUUCUGCGAGGACCUGAAGGUGGUAAACGGUUUGUGAUUCUGCCCAAAGGUGGUAAACGGUUUGUGAUUCUGCCCAAAGGUGGUCGCUGCUUGAUGGGAGCAAGUGGUGGCUUGGAGAAUUUAGCAGCAUCUCUGGCAGCUUUCUUCUCAUCAGAUAGUUGGUUUUCGAGGUCUCUAACCU
rnacentral:lncRNA from 1 species